GUAGUAUUCCCUCCGUCCCAAAAUUCUUGUCUUACAUUUGUUUAGAUACGGAUGUAUCUAACACUAAAAUGUAACUAGAUACAUCCGUAUUUAGACAAAUCUAAGACAGGAAUUUUGGGACGGAGGGAGUACAAA
rnacentral:pre_miRNA from 1 species